GUGUCUCGGGAGGAUCCGAAAGGAUGCGUGAGCACGGAAGCAGAUUGGGAAAAUGAGCUGAUAACCGUCCUCUGUCUGUCUUUUGGGACCCCAUGCAGAGCAGAUGGUUAUGGAGUGGUACGGAUAAAUGUUGGCGAGCAAGUCACCAUCCAGUGCAGAAGUGCUUCUAAUCAGGAUAUGCUGUAUUUGAAGAAAGGCCUCAAUGAGGAAGAGGACAUUUAUUUCACAGAUUCAAAUACAUCUACUAUUAACCAAAAAUUUACUGACAGACUUCAGUUUCAUGGGAAAUUACCCAAUGUGGAUAUUCUCAUCAAAAACCUGACCCUGAACGAUACAGGACCGUACUGGUGUGUGUACAAAUCGACCGACCAGAAAUAUGAGCUCAAAACCACAAAAGGCAGUGGGUCUGUGCUGCUGGUGGUGACAGAUGGUUAUGGAGUGAUACGGAGAAAUGUUGGACAGCAAAUCACCAUCCAGUGCAGAAGUGCUUCUAAUCAGGAUAUGCUGUAUUUGAAGAAAGGCCUCAAUGAGGAAGAGGACAUUUAUUUCACAGAUUCAAAUACAUCUACUAUUAACCAAAAAUUUACUGACAGACUUCAGUUUCAUGGUAAAUUACCCACUGUGGAUAUUCUGAUCAAAAACCUGACCCUGGAUGAUACAGGACCGUACUGGUGUGUGUACAAAUCGACCGACAAGAACUAUGAGCUCAAAGCCACAAGAGGCAUUGGGUCUGUGCUCCUGGUGGUGACAGAAAGCAAAUCAACUGAUUCAUUAGCAGAUCAACGGUCUGAGUGCCUUGAGCAGUCCCAGAGUGACCUGGUCCUGGUCACUGUGGUCAUCUGUGCAGCUGUGCUCAUUGUCGUCCUCACUGUCUUCCUCAUAUGGAUCAUCCUCAAGACCAGGCCCUUGCGCAGCACAGUGAAAAAAAGACCUGUCCCGGUCAACGACGUUUAUGAGGACAUGCGCGGCACAAUCAGGCGCUGAAGAGUUUACAGAGCCGACGCCGUGAACUCUCGGCACCACUGUGGUGUAAGCUCGGUCUGUUCUCACGCUUCAUGUCAUGUGUGGGUGUCUGUUAAAGAGCAACAGUGAGGUAAAAUGGUGCAACAGAAGAACACUUGCUCUGUAGAUUAUUUGUAAUCUUUAUAAGAGGAUUAUCAGCAUUGAGGCUUGUCCGUGGUAUUUGGGGAUGUACCCAGACGGAGAGGUUUUGGUUCACUUUUUUUUUCAACUAUAAAUAUGUUAAUCUUUGUUGUCAGUUUUUCCAAAAACGUAGCUUUUUUGUACUAAACUUUUUUUAAAUAUAAUUUAAUGCAAUAUGUGAUGUCUUUGGGGUGUACAGUGGCUGCAGCGUGAGUCAGGGUGGGUGGGACAUUCACCUGGGGUGGGGUGGACUGAAUGAAUUGAAUUAAUAUGUGUUUGUGUACAUGUGUUGAUUUUUCCAGCAUCUGAACAGGGGGAAAAGCCAGAAAACAGUUAAUGCAAAUAAAGACACGAAUGUCUUGUAAAAUACUAUGUAUUUUCAUCUUAAUAAACUAUCUGCCAUUCAUAUGAA